UACGUAGGGUGCGAGCGUUGUCCGGAAUUACUGGGCGUAAAGAGCUCGUAGGUGGUUUGUCGCGUUGUCCGUGAAAACUCACAGCUCAACUGUGGGCGUGCGGGCGAUACGGGCAGACUGGAGUACUGCAGGGGAGACUGGAAUUCCUGGUGUAGCGGUGGAAUGCGCAGAUAUCAGGAGGAACACCGGUGGCGAAGGCGGCAUUCUGGACAGUAACUGACGCUGAGGCGCGAAAGCUAGGGGAGCAAACAGG
rnacentral:rRNA from 1 species